CAUUACAGAAACGCCCGGGCUUCGGCCUGGUUAUUCAUAACCCUUUGUUGUCCGACUCUGNUGCCUCCGGGGCGACCCUGCCUUCGGGCGGGGGCUCCGGGUGGACACUUCAAACUCUUGCGUAACUUUGCAGUCUGAGUAAACUUAAUUAAUAAAUUAAAACUUUUAACAACGGAUCUCUUGGUUCUGGCAUCGAUGAAGAACGCAGCGAAAUGCGAUAAGUAAUGUGAAUUGCAGAAUUCAGUGAAUCAUCGAAUCUUUGAACGCACAUUGCGCCCCCUGGUAUUCCGGGGGGCAUGCCUGUUCGAGCGUCAUUUCACCACUCAAGCCUCGCUUGGUAUUGGGCAACGCGGUCCGCCGCGUGCCUCAAAUCGUCCGGCUGGGUCUUCUGUCCCCUAAGCGUUGUGGAAACUAUUCGCUAAAGGGUGUUCGGGAGGCUACGCCGUAAAACAACCCCAUUUCUAAGGUUGACCUCGGAUCAGGUAGGGAUACCCGCUGAACUUAAGCAUAUCAAUAAGCGGAGGAA
rnacentral:rRNA from 1 species